AUUGAACGCUGGCGGCAUGCUUUACACAUGCAAGUCGAGCGGCAGCGCGGGGGCAACCCUGGCGGCGAGCGGCGAACGGGUGAGUAAUGCAUCGGAACGUAUCCUCGAGUGGGGGAUAACCCAGCGAAAGUUGGGCUAAUACCGCAUGAGCUCUGAGGAGGAAAGCGGGGGACCUGCGAGGGCCUCGCGCUGGAGGAGCGGCCGAUGUCCGAUUAGCUAGUUGGUGGGGUAAAGGCUUACCAAGGCGACGAUCGGUAGCUGGUCUGAGAGGAUGAUCAGCCACACUGGGACUGAGACACGGCCCAGACUCCUACGGGAGGCAGCAGUGGGGAAUUUUGGACAAUGGGGGCAACCCUGAUCCAGCCAUGCCGCGUGAGUGAAGAAGGCCUUCGGGUUGUAAAGCUCUUUCGGACGGAACGAAAUGGGCGGGACUAAUACUCCUGUCUGAUGACGGUACCGUAAGAAGAAGCACCGGCUAACUACGU
rnacentral:rRNA from 1 species